rnacentral:lncRNA from 1 species
AGCCUUCUAAGGCUUACAUGACGCUUUCAGAUUGUUAUUGAAGGUUGCAGACUGUCAUUGAAGGUUGCAGACUGUCAUUGAGGAUUCUGGAUGCAUCCAGGCACGUCUGGCAUGCGAACAAAGGGCCUCGAAUCAUCCGGUUCCUGCUUGUGCAUUCGUCCAUCAUCCGGCCUUCUUAGUUUUCCCCGUCCGUCAUAGAAUCUUCUAGAAUUUCCUAGGGUCUUCGCGGCUCUUUUGGGUGUGCACUCAUCG